GAUUCUGAUAACAAGGGUGGAUGAUGUGGGAGAGAAAGAGAGGGGUCGAGGAUGACUUCCAAGUGUUUCUAGUAGUAACUGGAUGGAUGCAGUUGCCAAUCGGUGCAACGGGGCCUUACCCCAGACCGUCAGUUACCCCGACAUCUACAUCUUGGCCACAGGAAGGAAGAGAGUCCUCGGGAAGCUCUGCCAACCUGCACACACCCAUCCGGCCCUCUCUGCGUCCGGAUCCCUCCCCUCGGCUGGUAACGGUUGCCUGCAUCAGCACUUCUCAGACUCCAGUGUGUAUGAAUCAUCUGGGGAUCUCAUUAAAAUGCAGAUUCUGAAUCAGCAGGUCUGGGGCGGGGCCUGAAACUUCACGUCUAACAAGUGUCCGGGUGGCGCUGUUGGUCAGAGGGUCCCCCUUUGAGUGGAGAGAGCUCAUACACCCCAGACCCCACUGCAGUGAUUCUCCCUGGCCGCCGAGCACCAGCACCAUCUGGGAGUGAAGUAAACAUUCUCACCCUCCCCAGAUCUAAGAAUCGAACUUCCCAGAACAGAGCCCAGAAGGCUGAGCUUUUUGAAGCAUCCCAGGGCCUUUCUGCAACUCCCGGAGCGCAGACAGUCACAAGAAGGGCCCGUAGAAGAGGGCAACAGGUGCUGCCUUCAGCCUGAGCAAGCACACCCUGAAGGGGUGGCACCCCCAGGCUAUAUGGAGUCCCUGGGCCUGCAUGGAUGGGAGCAGGAGGACAGGUGAAGCACCGUCACAAAACCCUCUUCCUUGGGACUGCCGGAGAACUCCCUCAGCCCCUGAGCCCGGCCAGGCAGGGCCCUCACCUGCAGUUAUCCCGGGGCCAGAACUUGCUGAGGAUCCCUGGACAGGAGGUGUGGAAAGAGCGUGUGGUGGGGAAGGAGGGAACCAGAUGGAACUCUAAGCCUGGGGCAUGGCAAGCCAUAGACCCCACCAUCCCUGGAACAUGGACAGAGCAGUAUCGUGCAGUGGUUAUGGACAGAGCUCUCGUGUCAGGCAGACCCAGGUCUGACUGCUGCUCUACCACAUGUGAGCUAAGUGGCCUUGGAGAAGUGACUUAACCUCCUUGAGCCUCAGUUGCCUUGUCUGUGACAUGGGUAUGAUAAUAAUAAUGCAGUCCUGUGAGAUUCUUGUGAGAAUUAAAUGAGAAUGCACAAAUCAAGCUCUUAAGACAGUGUCUAACACACAGUAAGUGCUUUUAGAAUACUAAUAGAAGCUAUUAGUAUUGUGAUUCAAGAAAGCAGAUGGUUCUGGAAAAUCCUGCUGGGGGGAUGCUAAUGAUUUGGGCCAAGUCUGGAUUGACUGGCCUGAGAUGGUCUCAACCAGCUGUGCUGGGCCCUGGAAUGGCAGGUGACUGCUUAUUCUACCUCCCUCCAGGGAGGAAAUUAAUGGGAGUGGGUGGGAGAAGAACAGCAUGCCCAGGUGGGAUUUGGUGUUCUUCUAAAACUGAGAGCCAAAAGAAAUAUGGAUGGCCAGGCCCUGGGCCCACAGGCCUGGGCUGUGGGUUUGAGUCUCACUGAUCCCCUAUGUAGUCUUGGGCAUGUGUCUUUCUCUCUUUGAGCCUGUUUCUCUUCCACUGGAUGAAGGCAGUGACCAGAGGUGGCUUGGAGGUACCCAUUUGCUCCAAUAGCGCCAUGCAUGUGCAGAGUCCCUCGCACCCAAGUAGUGCCCUUGGAUAAGGCAGCAAACUGUCCCUAGAACCUCUCAGGCACGCCUUUUCCUCUAAGCCUGCACACAAGGACGGGGAGCUCGGGCUGGAGCGGUGGCCAGGUUGGCUCAGGAGCUGAUGGGGGGAGGCAGCGGCUCAAGGCCUGACCUUUUGGUCCAGAGCGAAUGCACUGGUCAUGAGACCGCUCAGAAUAGCAGAGACACUAUAUUCAGCUGUCGUGGGAGGCCUCAAGAUCCCCAGCCCAGGCGAUGGGCCCUGGAAUGAGCCCCCUCUGGACAACCCCUCACACACACACACUUCUGAGACAACCCACCUCCCCCCAUGAAAAAGCUCAAGCCAACCCUCUCCAAAGCUCCUGACAGCUGCCAGACCUCCUGCACAGAGCCAGGGCACACAGACUCCUGCCCCUGGGGUGCCAGACUCCAGACACUCUGUAGAUGAUGUGACACAAAGCACCCCCUAAGCCAGGAGUUGGGAGACACUGGUUUAUGAACCAGCCUCCCAGCUAACCUGUCCACAUGUGACAUCAGGUAAAGCACUUCUCUCUGGGCCUCAAUUUCCUCAUCUGUCAUAAUAAUAGCUCCUGUUAUAUUGAGCAUGCAGGAAGCUUACAGUCGGGAGGGGGGAACAAACCUGAACCAAGCAAGGCUGCUAAUGAGCAUUUUACUACGAACCAGACAGCUUCUCUCUCUGGUCCUGAACUCUGACCCUGGGAAGGCAUCCCUGAGGAACUGAUGUUUGAGGUGGGGUGUGAGGGACGGAGAGGGAUGAACUGAGAGGAAAAAGUGCUCCAGAGGAAACAGUAUACGCAAAGGCCCUGGGGCAGGGGAACCUGGCACAUUCCAGAAGCUGUAAAAGAGGCCAGUUGGUUGGAGCUGGGUAAGCCAUGGAGAGAGGUAGGUCAGGGGAGACCAAACUGGGUAGACAGGCCGGGCUGGGAAAGUGCUGAAGGGUUCUAAGCAGGCAAGCUGGUGACCUGAUAGAUUUGUGAGUUGAGAAGCCCCCUGUGGUUGCCAGGUGGAAAAUGAACUGGAGGGGCUGGGGGGCCAGAGCAGGAGAGCAGGCCGGAAGCUUUGGGGAGGUGGCGUGAGGGGAAUGAUAGCAGCUUGAGCUGGGAUGGUGGAUGUGGAGAUGGAGGGACGAGGACAGAGUCCAGAGGUAGCAGGAGGUAAAAUGAUGAUACAACCAACAGCAGUAAUAAUAGCAGCCAACAUUUAUUGAGCAUUUACUGUAUGCCAGGCCCUGUGGCUCAGGCUAUUUAUCUUUACAUCAACUCUCUCAGGUCGGUUCUGUCACUCUACCCAUCUAAUGGUAAAGGGGCUGAGGGACUCUGACCAGCAGAUGCUUGGUUUGAGCUUUUUGUUAUUGUGAGGGGGUCUCUGAGGGUGGUGGAGGCACCAUUCAAAGACAUGGGACCCCUGCACAAGGAACACAGGAAGGAGAGGAACACCGAACAGGGGACCCACUGUGGCAGGGCCUUGGGGCAGCUGGGAGGGAAGCACACCCAGCCCCAUCUCCAUACUCAGGGGUCUCCUUCACAUGGGACUUGAGUGGGGCCCUGGCCUGGGGGUGCAGGCUCUGAGGUGAGGUCCCUGACAACAGCUCUGUCUCCACCCCUAUGUAUGCCAACCCAAGACUUCAAGAGCCCCGCGUCAGCUGGGACCCAAGGGAGGGACAAGAUCUCUGGCCAGACACUUCAUUCCAGCUACCAGGAGAAUUCCUUUCCCAGGGAGCUGAGGUGGGGUCAGGUCUGCAUCAGGUCCCAAAGAGACGAGAACAAGGCAAACAGAUGGGCACAGGACAAGGUGUCAGAGGAGAGGAGGCCAGUGCAGUUGAUGGAGGUGGAGCUUCCCUAGCCUGGGGAUCAUUGGCAUUUCUUUGGUAUUUUGAAGGUCAAGUGACUCUGGGGGACAGAUGUCACCACAUACACACACACCCCACACACACA